GGCAUGACAUCCAUGGGCGAAUGAAUUAGCCGCCGCGAAUUGCCCUUAGAGUUUGAUCCUGGCUCAGGACGAACGCUGUCGGCGCGCCUAACACAAGCAAGUCGAACGAGAGAGAGGAAGCUUGCUUCCUCAAUCGAGUGGCGAACGGGUGAGUAACGCGUGAGGAACCUGCCUCAAAGAGGGGGACAACAGUUGGAAACGACUGCUAAUACCGCAUAAGCCCACAGCUCGGCAUCGAGCAGAGGGAAAAGGAGCAAUCCGCUUUGAGAUGGCCUCGCGUCCGAUUAGCUGGUUGGUGAGGUAAUGGCCCACCAAGGCGACGAUCGGUAGCCGGACUGAGAGGUUGAACGGCCACAUUGGGACUGAGACACGGCCCAGACUCCUACGGGAGGCAGCAGUGGGGAAUAUUGCACAAUGGGGGAAACCCUGAUGCAGCGACGCCGCGUGGAGGAAGAAGGUCUUCGGAUUGUAAACUCCUGUUGUUGAGGAAGAUAAUGACGGUACUCAACAAGGAAGUGACGGCUAACUACGUGCCAGCAGCCGCGGUAAAACGUAGGUCACAAGCGUUGUCCGGAAUUACUGGGUGUAAAGGGAGCGCAGGCGGGAAGACAAGUUGGAAGUGAAAUCUAUGGGCUCAACCCAUAAACUGCUUUCAAAACUGUUUUUCUUGAGUAGUGCAGAGGUAGGCGGAAUUCCCGGUGUAGCGGUGGAAUGCGUAGAUAUCGGGAGGAACACCAGUGGCGAAGGCGGCCUACUGGGCACCAACUGACGCUGAGGCUCGAAAGUGUGGGUAGCAACAGGAUUAGAUACCCUGGUAGUCCACACCGUAAACGAUGAUUACUAGGUGUUGGAGGAUUGACCCCUUCAGUGCCGCAGUUAACACAAUAAGUAAUCCACCUGGGGAGUACGACCGCAAGGUUGAAACUCAAAGGAAUUGACGGGGGCCCGCACAAGCAGUGGAGUAUGUGGUUUAAUUCGACGCAACGCGAAGAACCUUACCGAGUCUUGACAUCCUGCGACGCACAUAGAAAUAUGUGUUUCCUUCGGGACGCAGAGACAGGUGGUGCAUGGUUGUCGUCAGCUCGUGUCGUGAGAUGUUGGGUUAAGUCCCGCAACGAGCGCAACCCUUACUGUCAGUUACUACGCAAGAGGACUCUGGCAGGACUGCCGUUGACAAAACGGAGGAAGGUGGGGAUGACGUCAAAUCAUCAUGCCCUUUAUGACUUGGGCUACACACGUACUACAAUGGCGUUAAACAAAGAGAAGCAAGACCGCGAGGUGGAGCAAAACUCAGAAACAACGUCCCAGUUCGGACUGCAGGCUGCAACUCGCCUGCACGAAGUCGGAAUUGCUAGUAAUCGUGGAUCAGCAUGCCACGGUGAAUACGUUCNCCGGGCACUUGUACACACCGCCCGUNNC
rnacentral:rRNA from 1 species